GACAGAGGGUGCAAACGUUGUUCGGAAUUACUGGGCGUAAAGCGCAUGUAGGCGGCAACGCAAGUCGGGCGUGAAAUCCCACGGCUCAACCGUGGAAGUGCACUCGAAACUGCGUAGCUAGAGUCCUGGGAGAGGAAGGUGGAAUGCUUGGUGUAGAGGUGAAAUUCGUAGAUAUCAAGCGGAACACCGGUGCGAAAGCGGCUCACUGGACCUAACUGACGCUGAUGCACGAAGCUAGGGAGCAAACAGG
rnacentral:rRNA from 1 species